UCCUAACAAUGCCGAAGUUGCAAGACAACAGAGAGGAUGAGGAUGAGGAUGAGGAUGAAAACGAAAACGACAAAGACGAAAACGACAAAGACAAAGACAAGUAAUCUCAGAUGAAAUCCGUGCCACCCUAGUUCAUCAUGUACUAUGAGAGAAGCUGGACAGCUUGUGCAACCAAACCUAAGCCAUUACAAGGUUGCAUCCACUGUCUGUACUUUCAGAAGGGAAAACAGAGCUGAGAGGCAGCCAUCUGUUGGCGGUAGGCGGAGACUUCUCACAGCUGAACAGGAGACUGCCCUGGUGGAUAUGGCGUUUGCCAAUAAUGCCAUUCGUUUGAGGGAAAUUCAAACCCAAAUAGUUGAAGACCAGGUAUUCUUCCAAGGAACUGACAGCAUCAGCAUUUCCAUCAUUGACCAGAUCGUUCAGAAGAACCACAUAAGGACAAAGCAGCUGUACCGUGUGCCUUUUGAAAGGAUUUCAAACAGAGUUAAGGAGCAACAAUUCCAAUAUGUGCAGAGAAUCUUUGAGCUGGAUGCCAUGGCUGACCCACAGGAGUACAUCUUCAUCAACGAGGCAGGGUUCAGCCUAACAAAAAGGCGCAAAAGGGGGAGCAACAUCAUUGGUCACCGUGCCUUCAUACAAGUUCCUUGCCAGAGGGGAGGCAAAGUCACCCUAUGUGCAGCCAUCAGCAAUCAUGGCGUCCUCCACCACCAUGUCAAAGUGGGUCCAUACAACACGGCACAACUCCUUAAAUUUCUAGAUCAGCUGCACAAUAACUUUCUUCAACAGGAAGGGGAGCCAGGGCAACCAGAGACAGCCCAAUAUGUUGUCAUUUGGGAUAACGUGAGUUUCCAUCGGGCUGCUCUGGUUUGUGUCUGGUUCAAUGACCAUCCCAGGUUCACCGUUCUUUUUUGCCAGCAUAUUCCCCAUUUCUAAAUCCGAUUGAGGAUUAUUUCUCAGCAUUGCGGUGGAGAGUAUGACCUCAACCCCUACGCACAUCAAAACCCCCUUGAGGCAAUGAUGGACGCCUGUGGUGAUGUGUCUGUGGAGUGGUGAUGUGUCUGUGGAGUCUAUCUAGGGUUUUCUAAGGCACACAGGGCAUUUUUCCCACGCUGCCUGGCAAGAGCAAACAUAUGUGACGUUGAUGAGAUAUUAUGGCCUAACCCAGACCUGAGAAGAGAUGAUGAGAAUGCUGAUGCUGAGUAAUCUGUAUAUUUGCCGAUUUGGAAUUAAAGCUUUGUAAUUAAAGCUUUUGGAAAUUGGGUAUUUUACCGUGCAUAGACUCUUCCUUACAUGUUUUGUKYGUGUGACAUUUCAAAGGUCAGGCUUUUGACCAAAACAGCAUUUACAGUAGUAUUCCCUUAAUCCAUUAAUGUAAGAGGUAUUUUACCGUACUGUUUUGAAUUUCUCUCGCCAGGGUGUUCCUGAAAGGGUGAUCUGGAUAGUCAGUGCUGUGAUUUUACAAAGUUCCAAAUCAUUUAUCUGAAAACAUGUUUUGAAUGAAUCCCUCCAGUGUGUAACUAACAGUCAUGUAGUCUGUGUUUGACAGCUUGUGUUGUCUGUGGGCAAAGUUUUAAUUGGGACCCAGAAGUUAUAUGUUUAUACUGUUGGAUUUGAGUUUUUAAACUUGUGUGUGAAGAUUUGAGAAAAUGGUGAGUUGUUCCAGGAAUUGUGUCUAAGCAAUUGAGAAACAGAUUUUUUUUAAACGUCUCUCCAAGCGUUUAUGCAUGACUUCUACUUUUCUGAACUUUCCUCCAAGUGUAUACCUGACCCUAAAUUAGCUCUUGAGCAUUUCUCAUCAAUUUAUAUCACUGGCAGAUAAACAUGCUUCUUUAAAAUGCUAUCGACAAAAUCCCUUGUAACGGCAGCCUUCCUCC